rnacentral:rRNA from 1 species
GGACCCGCACAAGUAGUGGAGCAUGUGGUUUAAUUCGAUGCAACGCGAAGAACCUUACCAGGGUUUGACAUCCUGCGAAUCUCUUGGAAACUUGAGAGUGCCUUCGGGAGCGCAGUGACAGGUGGUGCAUGGCUGUCGUCAGCUCGUGUCGUGAGAUGUUGGUUAAGUCCCGCAACGAGCGCAACCCACGUCUUUAGUUGCCAGCAUUUAGUUGGGCACUCUAGAGAGACCGCCGGUGAUAAACCGGAGGAAGGUGUGGAUGACGUCAAGUCAUCAUGCCCCUUACAUCCUGGGCUACACACGUACUACAAUGCUACGGACAAAGGGCAGCAAGUUCGCGAGGACAAG